UGUAGCUGAUACUGUAGGUAGGAGAAUCUCACUGUCUGCUCCUUAAAAGCUUUGCAUAGCCACACGUGUGGAUUUUCCCAAAGACUCCCUUGACCCUGCUGACUGGGGGGCCUGUCAGGCUGUGCCACGUUGGCUUAAAAGUGCCUUUAUAAAGAAGAGGAAGAAAAGGUUGAUCUGUUAUUUGGACUGUGACACUCAUGCUUUGCCAUCUCUGUUGGGCUUGUUAUGGCGGGUUUGAAUGUUUCCAUUGCCUUCUUUCUCUCAGUUGUGGCUAUUUGUGAGGUGGUCAGGCAGGUUUCCAAGAGACUUCUGCCUCUUGGAGUGUACCGUGAUCUUGUCAGAGAACUGGUCAGCUCAUUACAGUUGUGUGCUUGCUGCCUUGAGCUGAGGAUGCUGAUGGAUAUUGGUCCCUGGGGUGGUGGCUUUGGCCCAGAUGUGAUUCUGACCCUCCGCUUCAUUCUCUACUUGAUUCAUGGUGUGUCUUUUGAUGGAGCUUCUGCUAACCCCACUGUCACUCUCCAAGAAUUCCUGGUCAUGGAUUCCUCCUUUGUGGUUACUGCUGUCAAACUUCUGGUCCAGUAUGUGGGAAUGGAGGCAGCUGGGAUUCUCACCACACACUACUGGUCCUGGGAGCUGACUGACUUCCACCUCAUCCAGAAUCUAAUGGCCCUGGAUUGCAAUUCCUCUAUCCAUACCUCUUUGUACCAUGGCAUCUUUGUGGAAGGUGUCUGCUCUUUCUUUUUCCAUUUGGUGGCUCUCAAGUUCCAGCACAAUGACCCUCGGUACAGAGCGCCCAUCCUGGCAGUGACUGUGACCACCCUGGCUUACACAGCUGGGCCUUUCACAGGGGCCUUUUUCAACCCCACCCUGGCCUCCAUGGUUACUUUUCACUGCUCUGGGAACAUCCUGCAAGAAUACAUCCAGGUUUACUGGCUGGGACCCCUCACAGGGAUGCUCACAUCCCUUCUCUUGUACCAGGGGACGAUCCCAAGGCUCUUCCAGAAGAACCUUCUUUACAGCCCGAAGAGCAAAUACCGGACGCCCAAGGGGAAGGCUGUGCCUGCGCUCAAACAGACAGAAGACAAUGGGGAAGGGCAGCCGCAGCUGUGAACCAAGCCCCAGAGCUGAGUGAAGGGUGUGAGAGGGUCCCCUAGCCGCUGCCCAUCUCUCCCUUCCAUCGGGCCCCUCCCAUGGCCAGAGUGACAGGAGCUGGGACUGAAGACACCUGGCCAGCUCUGUGAUGUGUGAGCAAGUGCUCGCUGGGGGCACCACCGGCUUUUCAUGCCACUGUCUCAGUGCAGCUUCUUGCAUGGACUGCGAACAAGAUAUUUUGCUCCAGAAACUCUAGGGGAAAGGAAAACUGGAUUUACAAGUUAUGCUAUAUCUUUACUGGAAUUCUACUGCUCUCAGAAAUCUGUAGGGCAAAAUGUGAAGUUGUAAAGACAGACAAAAACUACGCUUAGGCCUGGUCUACACUACAGAUUUGUCAAAUUUAGCAGCGAUAAAUUGAAUGAACCCUGCACCUGUCCACACAAUGAAGCCAUUUUUGUCGACAUAAAGGGCUCUUAAAAUGGAUUUAUGUACUCCUCCCUGAUAAGGGGAUUAGUGCUGAAAUCGACAUCACCGUUUUGAAUUAGGGCAAUUCGAUGGUAUUGGCCUCUGGGAGCUAUCCCACAGUGCACCAUUGUGACUGCUCUGGACAGCACUCUGAACUCGGAUGCACUGGCCAGGUGUACAGGAAAAGCCCUGGGAACUUUUGAAUCUCAUUUCCUAUUUGGUCAGGAGAGCUCAUCAGCACAGGUGACCAUGCAGUCCCAGAAUCGAAAAAGAGCUCCAUCAUGGACCGAACAGGAGGUACUGGAUCUGAUCGCUGUAUGGGGAGAGGAAUCCAUACUAUCAGAACUACGUUCCAAAAGACAAAAUACCAAAACAUUUCAAAAAAUCUCCGAGGCAUCAGGGAUAGAGGCUACAGCAGGGACGCAACACAGUGCCAUGUGAAACUUAAGGAGCUCAGACAAGCGAACCAGAAAACCAAAGAAUCAGACUGAUGCUCCAGGACAGAGCGCCAGACAUGCCGCUUCUACGCAAAGCUGCGUGCAAUUCUAGGGAGGGCCGCCACCACUACCCCACCCCUCUCCGUGGACUCCGAUGAUGGGGUACUCUCCGCCAUGCCUGAGGAUUUUGCGGAUGAGGAGGACAACGAUGAGCUUGAGGAGAGCACACAGCACACUGUUCUCCCUGACUGCCAGGAUCUUUUUAUCACCCUGACUGAAAUACCCUCCCAACCCAACCAAGCCGGAGAAGGGACCUCUG